AUUCUCAAUAUCAAUUGUCAAAUUAUCAAUAAUAAAAGUCUACCUAAAUACCUAGAGGACAUAGGCAUUCAUAGUAGAAUUAUGAAUGCUACUACUACUACUACUACGAUUAGGAAUCCCAAAAUAAGAAAAUAUUAAAUCAAUACUAACUAGAAAAAUAAUAAACCUACUAAAACUCUUUAAAUAUUCCUAAAUAAUAAUAUAGUUUCUAAAAAAAGAAAUCUUCUAUUCUUAUUUUUACGUGGAAUGUAAUUUUUAAAUUGUAUCUUCCAAUACUGCAUCAAUGGAUGUAGAAUAAAGCUUCACCUUCUAUAGUAACGACUCAACCAUAUUAAACCAAACCAUCAUUGAUUUCUUGACUCAAUUAAUCUCAUUUCCCAGAUAGCUGCUUUUGGCUAUAUGUUUUUUAUUUUUUUUUUCACAUUAUAUUUUGUAUUGGACAAAAAUUUAAUGAGCUAUUGUAAUAUAUAGUCAAUAAAACUCUAGUCAUUUCAUUUUAUCUUUUCAUUUUAAUAGAGAAUGAGACACAUUCUUCACCCUAUCUUGGUCACCAGGCAUCAUUGGCUUUGGUAUCAA
rnacentral:misc_RNA from 1 species